CUUUUGAGUCUGAUGGGCUGGUAGAGUGUGAGCGUGGCUCCUAAAUUUCUUGGGUAGGACUGAAGCACUUUUAAGGGACAGGGUGUUUUAUCACAGCAACAGAAAUGAAACUAAAACAACUUCCACAAUAAAAUUCUUGAGUUUCUUGGGGCCAAGAAGAUGACAGGAUAAGAUAAAGACACUGGCCAAGAUUGACCUCCAGAGUUUGCCCCUUGCUUAAAGGAGAAAAUUCCUUCAGUUAUCCUCUGAUCUCCACAUGCAUUCUGUAACAUGGGUGUAUGCAUACACACGAACACACAUCCACACGUUAAAUAAAUAAAAUAUACUGAAAGU
rnacentral:lncRNA from 1 species